CACAUUGGGCAACCAUCACCACAUCCAUCCGCAGAGCAUUUUCAUCUCUCUCAAGCUGAAACUCUGUCCCCUGAGAAACACUAACUCCCCCAUCUGCCUCCCCAGCCCCUGGAACCUACCAUUCCAUCUUCUGUGAAUGUGAUGGCUCUAGGAACCUCGCAUAAGUGGAACCGGGCGACAUUCAUCCUCUGGCCCUGCGCGUGCACACCCGAUUCUCCCCGCUGCUGACAAGGGAGAGCCGCCAACAGCUGAGCACAGUUCCACACCGAGUGCGUGUUCGCGGAUGACUCUCCCGGAAUUCGCAGCCAAGGUGCGGAGAGUCUGUUCUGCCAGUCUUCAGGUCAUUUUCAGGUCUACACUGAUGUGGACUAGCUGUAUCUGGGAUGAGGUGAGCCUAAGGUCAUCCUACUCCACCACCUUCCUGAACAGCAUCUUUAUUUCAUUUUCAUUCUUAAAAACUUAUUUGCCCUGGGCAGUCAUAUUCCUUUUCCUAUUAACAUAUAAUGUAUUAUUUGCUCCAGCGGUACAGGUCUCUGAAUCGUCAAGCUUACACAUUUCACGGU